AACACAUGCAAGUCGCACGAGAACGCUUCAGCUUGCUGGAGCUAGUAAAGUGGCGCACGGGUGAGUAACGCGUGGGUAAUCUACCUCCGAAUUGGGGAUAACACUGCGAAAGCGGUGCUAAUACCGAAUGACAUCAUCAGGACCUCGGUUUUGGUGAUCAAAGGUGGCCUCUACAUGUAAGCUACUGUUUGGAGAUGAGCCCGCGUACCAUUAGCUAGUUGGUAGGGUAAUGGCCUACCAAGGCUGCGAUGGUUAGCUGGUCUGAGAGGAUGAUCAGCCACACUGGAACUGACACACGGUCCAGACUCCUACGGGAGGCAGCAGUGAGGAAUUUUGCGCAAUGGGGGAAACCCUGACGCAGCAACGCCGCGUGAGUGAUGAAAGGCUUUCGGGUCGUAAAGCUCUGUCAAGUGGGAAGAAUAUGCCCUGUGAUAAUACCAUGGGGCACUGACGGUACCACUGAAGGAAGCACCGGCUAACUCCGUGCCAGCCGCGGC
rnacentral:rRNA from 1 species